UUCAGUUUUAUUUCCGACAGCAAACAUAUUCCUAAUCUUUUGGGAUCUCAGUUUUAGUUUGAAACCCGGAUUUGUUUUCUCUCAAUCGAUUAACGACUAUUGAACAGUGGUAUACUACUGUCUUUAUUUAUUCUGCCUGGGUUAUCACAUCAUAGUUCACUUACUCUUAAAUACACAAUAAGGGAUACAUUACAAGUCUUAAUCAAUGAUAUCUAGGUCAAGAAAACGGGAUUAUUGCUACGUCAUUUGGAAUAUAUCUAUGGUAUUAUGUGAAACAUAUAUUCCAUAACGGUCAACCAACUUUGUAAAACCUAUCGAAAGAUAGUACUUAAAUUUUUAACUAGAUUAAAUAUUUUGAAUAUAUGCAUAUAACCUAGGUUACCUUAUUUACUGCAAGAAGUGUCUAUCAAACCUAGUCACAGUAUACAACCCUUAUGUAUCUUAAAACUUUUUGACGAACUUAAUUUAAAGUCAAAAUAUAAGCCGACAAUGGCGAGUAGUUCAAAAUAAAACGUAUGUCGUGCUUGAGCAGGUAGUACAUGUUCAUAUUCGAGUAUAUUAUAACAUAGGAAAUCAAUUGAUGAUUGAUGUUUAAACUUAAAAAUUGAUUUUUCAAACAUCAGAACAAUCUCGUUCGUGUUAGAUCCUAGUUUAAAGUUUUCCAUCAUUUUUGUUAAUAAGUUUCCUUUCUAAAUUCUUAGCACAG
rnacentral:lncRNA from 1 species